AAAGUCAAUGUGUACAGAUGUGAAUGGAAGACAGACGGUUUUUGGUAUUCUUUUUACAGUAAAAUGAAACUCAGCUUCAAGAUCAGAUCAAAAAUGUAUUACAAACAUCAGUCAUGACUCAAACGAUCUCAACUGGAGCAUUCCUGGUUUUCAACACACUUGGUAACAUUAGAAGGUAACAUUAAAAAAAAAUUGCAACUUCAAAACAUGCACGAGCAUUUUCUGUUAAAAUAAAAACAACAACAGAAAAACAUUCAUUUGGUUCACUUUACACUGGUGUAAGUCUGAUUAUGAAAGUCUGACAGAGCUUUCAAAAGCAGCUGACAGCAAUCACAGUCACUGAAACAGGCAUGUUACCCGCUCUGAAAUGACUUGAAUAUAAAAAAAAACAUUGGCACUGCUCGCUUUGGCCCUCCACACUGAAACAUGGCCCACUCUGAAACCUUUGUUUCUACAGCAGCAUACACAGCAGCAGGACUGACAAAGAUCAGACCACCAACAGUCCAUCUGAGCACAGAUCUCACUGACAGCAGGACAUUUCAACCAGCUGUGACCCACGACUAGGAGAAGUCUCUUCAACUUCAUAUAUAACAGAUUCUCAAGGACUGUGACCUCCUCUGAGGAUCAUUACUGUGUGAUCACUCCAACACACCAGAUGAACAAAUAAAAACAUGAUAGUCAAAGAAGAACAAGAUAAAAAAAUAUAAUAUUGCACGUUCAUCACGUUGAUGGUAUCUGAUGACAUUAGUGCAAAUGAAGACAGACCCACAUUGAAACUCAUACACAGCAGAGUCCACCUCAUAUUACAGUAACAGCAUGUGUACAGCAGUCAGAACUGGCAACAGCUCAGAUUUCAUUCAAAGUACAGUCAUAUAACAGCAGCUGAACACCAUCACUGACAAGCAUGCACAUGAAAUGUUCAAAAUGACAAAAAAUACAAAUAUUCACCAUAACCACCAAAAUUGUGAUAGCAGUGAUAAAAAUGAUGACACCAAGACAAACGUUUGACCUAAUGAUUCACAAUUAUGAGUCAAAAUUAUUAGUCAUGAAGUCACAACUUGGACUUUAACUUAAACCUAUGAGUGAUUAUUCCAAGAUCAGUCACAAUUUUGACAAAUCACAUAAUUCCAAAUUAGUUCAAAUUUUACCCAUCUCUGAAUUUGACAAAAUAUUUCAAAAUGAUGACCAUAAGUCAAAAGAUUGAUCGGAUUCAAAAUUAUAAGUAAGUAAUAAAAUCUCAAGAUGAUGAUUUAGUGUCACAAAGGUUUGACUUUAUAAUUCUAAAUGUUGCUGUAUUUCAGAAUGUGGAUUUUGAAAGUCUACAGAGCUCCCCUGAGGUCACAGGGUAGGAAAAAAAAAGAUAUGUAAGUCCAUACAAAUGGAUUUGUAAAAGUCAAAAUAUUGCCUUUGUCCAUAUGUGUAUGUAAUGAAUAUAUAUAUAUAUUCAUUCUUAACUUUCAUCAUUUUUUUCCAUCCCUGGUUUGAUUAGAAGCCAGGGACCUUUGCAGCUCGUUGUAACCGUCUCUCUCCCCUUGUUUCCUGUCUGCUACUUCACUGCCCACUACCCAACCCAAUAAAAAGGGGGAAAAAAGAAUGAAAGUAAAUGGGCUUCCCUAACUUUCACCUUUCAUGCAUUAGAUGUAAAAAAAACAAAACAAAAAAAAAACCCAAACAAAAACAA